UCUUCUUCGUGGUUCACUUUACCGCCCAAAAUGGCGGCCUGUAUCUGGGCAAGUCCCCACCAAGGUGUCUGUGGUCUGAGGUUGAGCAGGGCAUUCCCCGUUGGAUCCCAAUGAUUUUAUUUACCCUGGAGGGGAGAAUCAUUUCUAAAGGGGUUACUUUGAUUGGACGUAGAGGGGGUAAUCUCUAUAAAUCCCAUGAGGUUUUACUGCUGUCCGGGC